GCCCCAAGUACCGACCCACCGGCCCCAAGUACCGACCCACCGGCCCCAAGUACCGACCCCAAGUACCGACCCACCGGCCUUAGGUACCGACCCACCGGCCCCAGGUACCGACCCACCGGCCCCAAGUACCGACCCACCGGCCCCAGGUACCGACCCACCGGCCUUAGGUACCGACCCACCGGCCUUAGGUACCGACCCACCGGCCCCAGGUACCGACCCACCGGCCUUAGGUACCGACCCACCGGCCCCAGGUACCGACCCACCGGCCCCAGGUACCGACCCACCGGCCUUAGGUACCGACCCACCGGCCUUAGGUACCGACCCACCGGCCUUAGGUACCGACCCACCGGCCUUAGUACCGACCCACCGCCCCAAAGUACCGACCCACCGGCCCCAGGUACCGACCCACCGGCCUUAGUACCGACCCACCGGCCCCAGGUACCGACCCACCGGCCCCAGGUACCGACCCACCGGCCCCAGGUACCGACCCACCGGCCUUAGGUACCGACCCACCGGCCCCAGGUACCGACCCACCGGCCCCAGGUACCGACCCACCGGCCCCAGGUACCGACCCACCGGCCUUAGGUACCGACCCACCGGCCUUAGGUACCGACCCACCGGCCUUAGGUACCGACCCACCGGCCUUAGGUACCGACCCACCGGCCUUAGGUACCGACCCACCGGCCCCAGGUACCGAUUGGCCUCUGCCCCCCCCGCCGCCGCCGCCUGUGCGCUCAGCUUGCACCAUUAGGGCCCCCAUGUGUUAGGGUCACACUCACACUCACUGGCCCCCAUGUCCCCGGUACUCUCGCCAAGAGACCCCCCCUUAGGCCUAUUCCCCGGU